rnacentral:rRNA from 1 species
GGAAAGCUCACCAGGAGCGACCUUUGAAUGAGAGUCAACUUGACGAGCUUACUCGAUAGAAGGAGAGGUGGUGCAUGGCCGUCGUCAGCUCGUACCGUAGGGCGUUCACUUAAGUGUGAUAACGAGCGAGACCCCCAUCUUUAAUUGCCAUCAUGUUCGAGAGGACGUGGGCACUUUAAAGGGACCGCCAGCGCAGAGCUGGAGGAAGGAGGGGUCGACGGCAGGUCAGUACGCCCCGAAUCCCCUGGGCAACACGCGCGCUACAAAGGACAGGACAAUGGGCUGCAACCUCGAAAGGGGGAGCCAAUCUCGAAACCUGUUCGUAGUUAGGAUU